ensembl:misc_RNA 7SK 7SK RNA
AGACACGGGAGCAAUGUGCCUACAACACCCGCCAUGCCAUUGAUCUCAGGGCUCAUUCGGUUGAUACAGCUGACUAGGCGUUCUCCCUUCCUCCCUCACCCCUCCCUGUGCCUCUCCUGAGGAGCUCAGUGGAAGAGGACAACCUUUCCCGUAGAGGAGGACCUGUCUUCAGUCAAGGGCAUUCAAACAGCGCUUUCCUCCACUAGACCCUCCACACAAGCUCAAGGUGCACUACUAUUUCUUGGGUGCACUUAGAAGUUUUUUUUUUAACUUACAGAAUAUUCUAUUUUUCUGCAAUGAAUACCUCAGAAAACAUA